GGGCGAAAGCCUGAUGCAGCGACGCCGCGUGAGGGAUGAAGGCCUUCGGGUUGUAAACCUCUUUCAGCAGGGAAGAAGCGCAAGUGACGGUACCUGCAGAAGAAGCGCCGGCUAACUACGUGCCAGCAGCCGCGGUAAUACGUAGGGCGCAAGCGUUGUCCGGAAUUAUUGGGCGUAAAGAGCUCGUAGGCGGUUUGUCGCGUCUGGUGUGAAAACUCGAGGCUCAACCUCGAGCUUGCAUCGGGUACGGGCAGACUAGAGUGCGGUAGGGGAGACUGGAAUUCCUGGUGUAGCGGUGGAAUGCGCAGAUAUCAGGAGGAACACCGAUGGCGAAGGCAGGUCUCUGGGCCGCAACUGACGCUGAGGAGCGAAAGCAUGGGGAGCGAACAGGAUUAGAUACCCUGGUAGUCCAUGCCGUAAACGUUGGGCACUAGGUGUGGGGCUCAUUCCACGAGUUCCGUGCCGCAGCAAACGCAUUAAGUGCCCCGCCUGGGGAGUACGGCCGCAAGGCUAAAACUCAAAGGAAUUGACGGGGGCCCGCACAAGCGGCGGAGCAUGCGGAUUAAUUCGAUGCAACGCGAAGAACCUUACCAAGGCUUGACAUGCACGRGAAGCCACCAGAGAUGGUGGUCUCUUUGGACACUCGUGCACAGGUGGUGCAUGGUUGUCGUCAGCUCGUGUCGUGAGAUGUUGGGUUAAGUCCCGCAACGAGCGCAACCCUCGUCCCAUGUUGCCAGCGGGUUAUGCCGGGGACUCAUGGGAGACUGCCGGGGUCAACUCGGAGGAAGGUGGGGAUGACGUCAAAUCAUCAUGCCCCUUAUGUCUUGGGCUUCACGCAUGCUACAAUGGCCGGUACAAAGGGCUGCGAUACCGUAAGGUGGAGCGAAUCCCAAAAAGCCGGUCUCAGUUCGGAUUGGGGUCUGCAACUCGACCCCAUGAAGUCGGAGUCGCUAGUAAUCGCAGAUCAGCAACGCUGCGGUGAAUACGUUCCCGGGCCUUGUACACACCGCCCGUCAAGUCACGAAAGUCGGUAACACCCGAAGCCCAUGGCCCAACCGUUCGCG
rnacentral:rRNA from 1 species